rnacentral:snoRNA from 1 species
CGGGCCGAUCAUGAUGACGGGUGACUUAGGAGUUACAUAUGGUGAGUACUUGUGUGUCUGGAGCUCUAAGGUCUGA